rnacentral:rRNA from 1 species
UACAGAGGGUGCAAGCGUUGUUCGGAAUUACUGGGCGUAAAGCGCGUGUAGGCGGCGGCGUUAGUCGGAUGUGAAAUCCCUCAGCUCAACUGAGGAAGUGCAUUCGAUACUGCGUCGCUUGAAUGUCGGAGGGGAUGGCGGAAUUCCCGGUGUAGAGGUGAAAUUCGUAGAUAUCGGGAGGAACACCAGUGGCGAAGGCGGCGAUCUGGGAAGAUACUGACGCUGAGGUGCGAAAGCGUGGGGAGCAAACAGG